UGCGGAAGGAUCAUUACUGAACUUAAGUAA
rnacentral:rRNA from 1 species